rnacentral:RNase_P_RNA from 1 species
GGAGUUGGCCGGGUAACCGCUGCUUUAUUGAUGUCCCUUGACCUUAUGUUGGGGAGACUGAUGAAGGGGAGGAAAGUCCGGGCUCCACAGGGCAGAGUGCCAGGUAACGCCUGGGGGGCGCAAGCCUACGACUAGUGCAGCAGAGAGCAAACCGCCGAUGGCGCCUUGUGCGUACAGGUAAGGGUGAAAGGGUGCGGUAAGAGCGCACCGCGCGGCUGGUAACAGUUCGUGGCACGGUAAACUCCACUCGGAGCAAGACCAAAUAGGUUCCCUAUGGCGCGGCCCGCGUUGGGAACGGGUAGGUUGCUGGAGCCAGUGAGCGAUUGCUGGCCUAGAUGAAUGGUUACCGCUGAGCAAUCAGGACAGAACCCGGCUUAUAGGCCGACUCCCCAC